rnacentral:rRNA from 1 species
AGUGAACGCUGGCGGUAGGCCUAACACAUGCAAGUCGAACGGCAGCACAGUAAGAGCUUGCUCUUACAGGUGGCGAGUGGCGGACGGGUGAGGAAUACAUCGGAAUCUACUUUUUCGUGGGGGAUAACGUAGGGAAACUUACGCUAAUACCGCAUACGACCUACGGGUGAAAGCAGGGGAUCUUCGGACCUUGCGCGAUUGAAUGAGCCGAUGUCGGAUUAGCUAGUUGGAGGGGUAAAGGCCCACCAAGGCGACGAUCCGUAGCUGGUCUGAGAGGAUGAGCAGCCAAACUGGAAAUGAGACAAGGGCCAGAAUACUGCAGGAAGGAGCCGGCGGGAAUAUUGGAAAAUGGGCGAAAGGCGGAUCCCACCAUACCGCGUGGGUGAAGAAGGCAUUCGGGUUGUAAAGCCCUUUUGUUGGGAAAGAAAAGCAGCAGGUUAAUACCCCGCUGUUCUGACGGUACCCAAAGAAUAAGCACCGGCUAACUUCGUG